rnacentral:rRNA from 1 species
UCAAGCUACUAAGGGCGCACGGUGGAUGCCUUGGUACCAAGAGCCGAAGAAGGACGUGGCAAGACUGCGAUAUGCCCGGGCUAGCUGUCUAGCGAGCUCAACCCGGGAUCUCCGAAUGGGGCAACCCGGCCCGCUUCAUCGCGGGUCACCGCCGGCUGAACACAUAGGCCGGAUGGAGGGAACCGGGGGAACUGAAACAUCUCAGUACCCCGAGGAACAGAGAUCAUUCUCCUAGUAGUGGCGAGCGAACGGGGAAGAGCCCAAACCGUCCCCCUCGGGGGGCGGGGUUGUAGGACCGGCGCAUAGGAGUGAGCAAUCGAUCGGGUAGCCGAAGGUGCCUGGAACGGCCCGCCACAGGGGGUGAGAGCCCCGUAGGCGAAACUCGAUCGACUCCUGCCGGGAUCCUGAGUACCACCGGACACGAGAAAUCCGUUGGGAAUCUGGGGAGACCACUCUCCAAGGCUAAAUACUCUUGGUGACCGAUAGUGGACCAGUACCGUGAGGGAAAGGUGAAAAGCACCCCGAAAGGGGAGUGAAAAAGUUCCUGAAACCGUGCGCUUACAAGCAGUCGGAGUCCUUCCUUCGGGGAGGAUGACGGCGUGCCUAUUGAAGAAUGAGCCGACGAGUUACGUUCAGUGGCGAGGUUAAGCGACGGGAGUCGCGGAGCCGGAGCGAAAGCGAGUCUGAACAGGGCGACACAGUCGCUGGACGUAGACCCGAAACCUGGUGAGCUACCCAUGGGCAGGGUGAAGCGGGGGUAAUGCCCCGUGGAGGCCCGAACCUUCGUACGUUGCAAAGUGCUUGGAUGACCUGUGGGUAGGGGUGAAAUGCCAAUCGAACCAGGAGAUAGCUGGUUCUCCCCGAAAUGCAUCUAGGUGCAGCCUCGGGUGUUUUCUCUUGGAGGUAGGGCUCUGAUUGGGCUAGGGGGCAUAGCGCUUACCAAACCCACUCAAACCGCGAAUGCCAGGAGACUAGAACCCGGGAGUGAGACGGCGGGGGCUAAGCUUCGUCGUCAAAAGGGAAACAGCCCAGAUCCGCAGCUAAGGUCCCAAAAUUCACGCUCAGUGUUAAAGGAUGUCCGGCCGCACAGACAGCCAGGAUGUUGGCUUAGAAGCAGCCACCAUUGAAAGAGUGCGUAAUAGCUCACUGGUCAAGUAGCCGGGCGCCGACAAUGUUCCGGGGCUCAAGCGUGAUACCGAAGCUCGGGGAUCGUCCCUUCGGGGGCGAUCGGUAGGGGAGCGUUCCGCGGGCCGUGAAGCCGGAGGGGUGACCCCUGGUGGAGCGCGCGGAAGUGAGAAUGUCGGCAUGAGUAGCGCAAUUUGGGUGAGAAACCCAAACGCCGUAUGCCUGAGGUUUCCUACGCAAGGUUAUUCCACGUAGGGUUAGGCGGCCCUAAGCCGAGGGCGAGAGCCGUAGGCGAUGGACAGCAGGUUAGUAUUCCUGCCCCGCCAGCGUAGCGUUUGAGAUGAGAGGCGUGACCCGGGAGGAUAGGCAGAGCGGGCCCAUUGGACAUGGCCCGUUCUUGCACCGUAGGCGUCUGGCAGCAGGCAAAUCCACUGCCAGGUUAAGCGGAGGGUGUGAGAGAAGCGGAGACGACAGUCAAAGCGACUCUGCUGAGUCCAUGCCGGCUAGAAAAGCGUCGUCAUCGAGUUGCGUUGGCGUCCGUACCGAUAACCGACACUGGUGGGCGACGGUAAGUACCGUAAGGCGUUCGAGAGAACCUUCGUUAAGGAACUAUGCAAGUUAGCUCCGUAACUUCGGGAGAAGGAGCGCCCUUGGGUGUUAAUGACUUCGCGUCAGAAGCAUCCGGGGGCCGCAGUGAGCAGGCCCAGGCGACUGUUUAACAAAAACACAGGUCUCUGCUAACCCGUAAGGGGAUGUAUAGGGGCUGACGCCUGCCCAGUGCUGGAAGGUUAAGGGGAGGGCUUCACGGCCCGAACCGAAGCCCCAGUGAACGGCGGCCGUAACUAUAACGGUCCUAAGGUAGCGAAAUUCCUUGUCGGGUAAGUUCCGACCCGCACGAAUGGCGUAACGAUCUGGGCGCUGUCUCGACGAAGGACUCGGCGAAAUUGAACUGGCCGUGAAGAUGCGGCCUACCCGCAGCAGGACAAAAAGACCCCGUGGAGCUUUACUGU